ACCAUAGGACACAGACAGGAAGUGGGGCUGGUGAAGCAAGGUCCUUCGGCUCUGGAGCAGGUGUUGGAGGGCAGGCGAGAGUUGGUGAAUGCUGCCCAGGCCCACUGCCUGACAGAGAGGGGUUACCAGCUCCCUUGCAAGGCAGGCAGGGGUCUCUGCCCAGAGUUCAAAGAAGAGGCAUGAAUGGGACGGACAGGGCAUAAGGUGUAGGAGACAAACUUUUCCUGAGAAGGUCGGUCCUUCAUUCUUCAGGGACUUCCAGGAGAAUGACGAGCCAUUGAGGGACCCUUCCUUCUGCCUGCGGGCGGCCAGUGGGCAGCCGGAUGCGCUCCUGUGAGAGGCGUAUUUCCCGCUGAUGUGACCGAGCCCCACACAGCCUGGAACUGGGCACCUGGGUACAGAGAGGCCGGGGGAAGGACCUGGACCAGGACUUGGGGAGCUGAGGGACCACGUCAUCCAGGAACCCACGCCAAACCCAGGACAAGAUCUUCAAUCUGCAAGGCUCAUUCUUAUCUCUUCAUAAAUGAAACUCAUCCAAAUUACCGUUUGUCACACACUCCCUGUGUGCUGAUUACCUGGCAACACAAGACCCCGAGAGGUCACCAUGGCUCCAUUUACGAGGAGAUUCAUGGGCAUACAGGGAAGUCACUGUCAGCGCAGGAAGCGCUCGGGAGGACGGUAGCAGGGGGCGGGGGCGGGGGCAGAGGCUCCCGCCGUAGGGGUGAGAGGCGGCUCAGGGCUGCGCUGCCCAGUGGAAGGUCAACAAGGCCUGGACAGGGAGGGCAGCGUCCGGCUCCUUGCCCCCACACUCUGGCCUCGUCUCUGAAGCUGCCGUUUCAGACCCUUCCCAGCCAACUCGGCCAGGACCCUGCUUUCUCUCUCUCCACAGGCCCCUCUCUUGGUUCUUUUCCCUUUGUUACUCAUCCCACCCACCUGGCCCUCAGAAACUUUUAGGACAUUCCCUGAGCCAGUCCGAGGUCACCUCAUCCCCGUCCAGAGCAGAGACACUGCCAGGGGCCCCUAUGGGAGCUUUGGGAAGUUCACAUUCAAUGUCCAGCCCCCCUCUGAUGGGGAUGGCCCAGCCAUGGGACCCUGGGGGACACCUGCACCAGGCACAGACUGGCUGGGAAGAGGCUCUGUGGCCAAAUGGGGGGUGGCUGGCUCUUCAGCUACUCUACACAGUCGAAUCUGAAUUAUUAUUAGUAGUAGUAGUAGUAUUUUUGAGAUGGAGUCUCGCUCUUGUUGCCCAGGCCGGAGUGCAGUGGCACAAUCUUGGCUCACUGCAACCUCCGCCUCCCGGCUUCAAGCGAUUCUCCUGCCUCAGCCUCCCGAGUAGCUGGGAUUACAGGCGCCCGCCACCACGCCCGGCUGAUUUUUGUAUUUUUAGUAGAGAUGAGGUUUCACCAUGUUGGCCGGGCUGGUCUCGAACUCCUGACCUCAGGUGAUCCACCCGCCUCAGCCUCCUAAAGUGCUGGGAUUACAGGCAUGAGCCACAGUGCCCGGCCCAAAUCUGAGUUAUUUUCACUCCCUUUCUUGCAAAACACUACUCCCC
rnacentral:lncRNA from 10 species